rnacentral:lncRNA from 1 species
GUUCACAGGAGACCUGCUUGUUUAAAAGUGUGUGGCACUUCCCCCCCUCACUCUUGCUCCCACUCUCGCCAUGUGAUAUGCCUGCUCCCCUUCUUCUUCUGCCGUGAUUGUGAGCUUCCUGAGGCCUCAUUAGAGGCAGAUGUUCUGUAUGGCCUGCUGAACUGAGGUCUAUUAUAAGAACUCCCUGCCCAUCCUUUUAACAAGAGGCUUAGAAAGAGACAUGCCAAAACCACCUCCAAAAACCAAGGUAAACUAUGUUUUCUCUGUAGGCGACCAUGUGAAAUCUUUAGCAUGGUUCUUUGUUUUUUGUUGUUUUUGUUUGUUUGUUUGUUUGUUUUGAGACAGAGUCUUGCUUUAUCGUCCAGGCUGGAGUGCAGUGGCGCAAUCUCAGCUCACUGCAACCUCUGCCUCCUGGGUUCAGGCAGUUCUCCUGCAUCAGCCUCUGGGGUAGCUCGGACUAAAGGUGCGCACCACCAUGCCCAGCUAAUUUUUGUAUUUUUAGUAGAGACGGGGUUUUGCCAUGUUGGCCAGGCUGGUCUCAAACUCCUGACCUCAGGUGAUCUGCCUGCCUUGGCCUCCCAAAGUGCUGGGAUUACAGGCGUGAGCCACCAUGCCCGGCCAGCAUGUUUCUUGAUGCUCUCCUAUUUCCAUGUUCUGUUGAUUGCAUUUCCUUCAGCCCUUUUGGUUUUUUAUUUGUUUGUUUUUUCAGGGAAGUAGGCAUGAGGGAGUGUUGCGGGAGGAUCUGGUGGUAUAAAAGCACUUUUUAUACAGUACCUUUAAUCCAUGGUUGUAUUCAGCCAAAAAUUCUUCAGACACUCCUAUUAUUGAAGAGAUAGUGAUAAUUUUUAGUAGAUGGUUUUACUUCUGCUCAAUAACAAUUGUGGCUAUGAGACCAUGCCUUUUGCAGGAACAUGGAUGGAGCUGGAGGCUAUCAUGCUUGGUAAACUAACGCAGGAAUAGAAAACCAAAUACCACAUGUUCUCACUUAUAAAUAGGAGCUAAAUGACAAGAACUUAUGAACACAAAGAAGGAAACAACAGACACUGGGACCUCCUCGAGGGUGGAGGGUGGGAGGAGGAAGAGAAACAGAAAAGAUAAGUAUCGGGUACUGGGCUUAAUACCUGGGAUGUGAUAAUAUGUACAACAAACCCUUGUGACACAUGUUUACCUAUGUAACCUUCACAUGUACCCCCAAACGU